AGCCCGGCUCAGCUCGGCAGCCUUAGUGAGCGGGGCCGGUCGCCUCCUUCUUCCCUCCUUCUCUCCCAGCCACGGCUCGGGGCUCCUCCUCCUCCUUUCUCCUCCGGCUCCCUCCCUCCUCCCUCCAUCCGUCACCCCCCGGCCGCACUUUCCUUGCGCCGCUCCCGUUUGCACUUUCCAUUUCGCUCCUCCGGGGCAGCCCGGUAAAGCGGUCGGGCCGGGGCUAUGAGCCGUGCGGGGAGAGCAGCUGCUGCCGAGCCGUAGGGAGCCGUCCCCGGGCAGGGCCGGGGUGUCCCGCUACAGGCGGCGGCUCCCGGGCAGGGCUCUCGCUGCCGUCCCGUCUCGGGGCGGAGGGGCCCGCGAUGUGCGACAUGAUCGACUCUCAGUCCGCCGAGAAGAUCAGCAGGAUGAAAAAGUUGCGGAGAACUUUGUCGGAGAGCUUCAGUCGAAUAGCCUUGAAGAAAGAAGACAGCAGCUUUGAUGAGAUAUGUGUCACAAAGAUGUCUACACGGAACUGCCAGGGAAUGGAUUCAGUGAUCAAACCUCUGGAUACAAUUCCUGAGGAUAAGAAAGUCAGGGUCCAGAGGACACAGAGUAGCUUCGAUCCCUUUGAGAAACCAACUAAUCAAGUGAAGAGGGUUCAUUCAGAGAACAACGCUUGCAUUAACUUCAAAACUUCAUCUACAGGGAAAGAAUCACCCAAAGUCCGACGGCAUUCCAGUCCUAGCUCUCCUACAAGUCCCAAGUUUGGAAAAGCAGACUCAUAUGAAAAACUGGAAAAACUAGGGGAAGGGUCCUAUGCUACAGUAUACAAAGGGAAAAGCAAGGUUAAUGGAAAGCUGGUGGCACUGAAGGUGAUAAGAUUACAAGAAGAGGAAGGAACCCCGUUUACAGCUAUCAGGGAAGCUUCUCUUCUGAAAGGACUGAAACAUGCAAACAUUGUGCUGCUUCAUGACAUCAUUCAUACCAAGGAGACUUUAACACUCGUUUUCGAAUAUGUGCACACUGAUUUAUGUCAGUACAUGGACAAACACCCUGGAGGGCUUCAUCCAGAAAAUGUGAAGUUAUUUUUAUUUCAGUUGCUGCGAGGACUGUCUUACAUCCACCAGCGUUACAUUUUGCACAGGGACCUGAAACCACAGAAUCUUCUGAUCAGUGACACGGGGGAGUUAAAGCUGGCAGACUUUGGUCUUGCAAGAGCUAAAUCAGUUCCCAGCCAUACGUAUUCUAAUGAAGUGGUAACCCUAUGGUACAGACCUCCAGAUGUCCUUUUGGGAUCAACAGAAUAUUCAACCUGCCUUGACAUGUGGGGAGUGGGAUGUAUCUUUGUAGAAAUGAUUCAAGGGGUUGCUGCUUUUCCAGGAAUGAAAGACAUUCAAGAUCAACUUGAAAGGAUAUUUCUGGUACUUGGAACACCAAAUGAAGAUACGUGGCCCGGAGUGCACUCAUUACCACAUUUCAAACCAGAACGGUUUACGCAGUACAGCCCUAAAAACCUUAGACAAGCAUGGAAUAAGCUCAGCUAUGUGAAUCAUGCGGAAGAUCUAGCCUCCAAACUACUCCAGUGUUUCCCAAAGAACAGAUUGUCAGCACAGGCAGCCCUGAGCCAUGAGUAUUUCAGUGAUCUGCCCCCUCGGCUAUGGGAGUUAACUGAUAUGUCUUCUAUUUUUACUGUACCGAAUGUAAGAUUACAAGCAGAGACUGGAGAAAGCAUGAGAGUCUUUGGGAAAAACAAUAGUUAUGGAAAAGGUGUAUCAAACAGCAAACAUUGAAGAAUACCUGAGUUCAUAAUUGAUAAUGCAGACAGCUUUGAUACCCACUGGGGAUUUGAUACUCGAUCUUUUCGAUCACAGUUGUUCGGGGAUGGAACGGAUUAAAUUUACCAGUUUGGAGGAGGGAAACAAAAACCUAACGAGGAGUCCGACACCAGGAAGGAGCCAUGGCCUGUUUCCUUUCUUUCUCUAUCGUGGAUUUCAUUCAAAAGAAAACUGAAGCUGGCAAGACCCUGUUUUUCCCUGCAAUUUAUUUAAAACCUUGCACGCAUUUUGGAUACCUUGUGAUUUCAGAGAACUAUGUGAAGAUUAAGCUUUUGCUUACUGAUACAUGGCAUGUACUCUUUCAGUCUUUUGUGUUUGAUUUUGUUUGAUUUUCCACUGCAGCGCUGCAUCUUUGUAAGGAUUUUUAUGCUUUCACCAGCAAUGUCUUAAAUACAUUAAGACAACACAUUCGGUGUUCACACUUCUUCAGUAAUGACUGUACAAAAAAGCCAGCGGUGGCAUAAAGGACCGUGCUUUCUUUGAGAGUCGUGCACAUAUUGCAACCAAUGGGAAGACAAUUUCUGCCAGAGCAAGCCCGAUUUGGGCUGACAGUUACAGCACCUUGCCACUGUUCCUGAAGUGGUGUUGGGUUCUUUCUUUUCUCAUUGUACCCUCAGAUCAUUUAUAUCCAUUUUAAAAACAUGGCAAUAACCGCAUGUUUACUCCAGCACUCUGAAUUUGGUUACUCUGCUUAGGCUAUGUAGCAUGCCAGUUUUGGAAAUAGGCCUGUGAGAAAGAUGACGCAAAAAUGAGAUGCGCUCAGCUGACAGAUACACAACAAAUUCUUUAUGGUUUUAUUCCCUUUGUGAGUAUUUCUUUCUUUUGUGGGCCUUGGCUCACAUCUCCAUGUUUUUCCUCAUGCUGUUUACCUUUUGGAAUGUUUUCCUCAAAAGAAAACAGAGAUUCUGAAACUGUUCCAUUUAAUUCAAGGCAGAUACGAAGGUACAGAGAAAUUUUUGUUGAAUGAGCCAUUAAGUCUAACUGUGUUAUUUUGCUGCUUACAGAGCGAGAGUUCUCCUUAUCCCAGACGGUUUGCUGUUCCACACCAAAGCACUUUUCAAAUCAUUUUCUAUAGGUAUCCCGAUCUGAUUGGAAGGCACUACCAGACGAUGUGUCUUUAAAUCGCUUUUCUGAAUGAAUCAUUCAAAUGCAAACUUUGCAAGAAACAAAGCUGUGUGACUUUAGGCGAGGAAGCCCCUGCCACAUUGUGGCUGGGGAGAACAUUGUGUUGGGGGGUGGAUAAAACUGCCCUGAUCAUAUACAAUGCUUUGCAUUCAGAAAGAGCAGGGCACAGUGCGAAAACUGCUGUUGAGUUAUGCUCCUGCUCAGACUGUACCGCUUGCUCGGCAAUAUUAUUCUGCACAUAAGUUUGACAUCCCUUGCUUGCUGGAUGCAUUGAAUUACAUUUUUAAGAAGUGCGGUAACACUUGGGUUAGCUUUCACUGUUUAAAAGGAGGGGAGAAGGAUUUGUGCUACUGCCAUCUUAUUAAACUCCAGCAGUGUUUAAUAAGAAAAGAACACCCAAUAAGGCAAAUCCUUGAAUGCUCAAGUAGCUACGGAAGGCCUCUUAAUGAACUGGCGUAUGAGUCUACACUUUCAAAGAGUUGAACCGAGGAAAUAUUCUCAGUAUUUGCACAGCCAUUAAAACAGUUUCCCCCAAUGACAUCUCUCUUUCAGGAUCUGGUAAAAGCCAUCUGAAAGCCACUUUCAGUCACAAUCCUAUUUAGAAGUUACUACAGUUUUCCUCCUGUAUUUAGGAGGGGAAAACAAGUGACCACUGAACUUUUGACUUUAUCACACACUGAAACUGCCUUAGACGUGGUUUGUUUGGAUUUCAUGGGUUUUUUUUUUGUUUGUUUGUUGUUUUUGUUUUUGUAAGAGAAAAUCUUUUAUACGUUAUCUUUGCUACUGAAACGCUGUGCAGUUUGAUGAUUGAAAUUAGCUAUUUUUAGGAAAAAAAAUCAUGCUGCAAAAAAAAAAUAAUAAUAGUAAUCUGAUGAAUUUUUGAAAAUGUAAAAUUUCAAUUAGGAGUAUAAUAGUAGUUGCAUAGACACAUCUACUGGGCAGCUUCAAUUGGGAGGCACGCAGUUACACUGCCUGACUAAACAUCUGAAGGUUUAAUAUAGAGACUGAUUCCCUAACUGUACCCACUAGCCCAGCACAUCAUUGCUGUCCGUAGUGAAUCAUGUCAUGUUUACUUACGGUGUGUGUGUGUCUGUGUGUGUGUGUGUGUGUGUGUACACACAUGCAUGUAAGAUUAUCUUCUCUGCCCCAUUCCCACUUUUAAGCAACCACUGAAAUAAUUAGAGUUGUUGGUCCAAAAAUCUUCAGACUCAGUUGCCUAAAGCACACAAACAUCCGGGUUCCUCAACAGUAACUGGAUUUUCAGCAGUAGUGGGUCUGUCUUGGCCACUGAUCAGUUAAAGAAUGGCACGAAUCUCUUGAGCACCUCCUUUCUGGUUCUUCUGACUGCCCGUGCUGACACUGGUUUGCUGUCACCUGCAGAGGUCUUUCUCCCUGCACUAAGGGGAUCUGCUGCACUAGAUCAUGAAAUCUUCUGGGAAACCUAAAUUGGUUAUUUUACUUUAUUUUUCUUUAUUUUGAGAAACUGGGAAUACCUUUAUGCAGAGAAUGGACUGUACAGCCUUUUUCUCCCUUCUUGUCCUGUCCUGCAUCAGCAACCUGACAGCCCCCCUCAGUUAGGGUCCCCUGGCAGUUAUCCCACCUCUCCAGCAUCUUGCAGGUUUUCACCACAGCCCUUUUCAGGGCUGAUGAAUGGACUUUUUAAACCCCAUUGAUGUCCUUAAGGCAGAGUAAGGGAAUAUCAGUAGCACUAUCCUCUUUUAUUCUCAUCCUUCCCAAACCAGUUCCCUGCAGAAUAUUCAAAGGGACAAGAAAACAAUCAGCCCGGUCUUCCAGACAUGCUGCAGGUCUUGGGAGUGCAGUGUUUCAUGCCAUCAGCAGUCAAAAGUUAGUUUAAAUAGAUGGUAUUCUGUGGGGUGCAGUCCUUGACAAACUGUGGGACUUGCCUGGAGCUGGCAGCCAUCAACAGUGUAAUUCUUGUCUUCUUGCCUGAGCCCCAGCAGAUCCUUCCUGAUGAUACUGAGAGAAAGGAUGUGGCUCAGCUACAAGAGGGAUGAGCAGCCACAGGGCAAAAGCAGGCAGAUAAAAGUAGGAGAGCAUAUUCUGACUCUGUACAAUACCAGGUGAACAGGGAAGGGAAGGUGAUGAUAGAGAUGGCUUGUGUGAUACAGAGAUUCCUUACAAGUUCACAUUCACAGAACCCAACUUUAUUACAAGUGAAACACCUGGAGAUAGUUUGGUCCCACUUCAGCUGGGGUCAGCUCAGCUCCAGUCCAUACCCAGCAGGCACAGCUCCAAGCAGGUCACUCCAACACUCAACAUUACGCUGUUGUAUGACAUCCCUGAUCGUUGAGUCCUUCCAAUUCUCACUAUUGUUUUUAAACAGGAUCAUGUUUGAGGAUAAUGCCAGUAAAUGCAACACUGGGAAUUCAAUCUGCAGUAGACAGAGGCACCAAGGUUUCCAUUUUGUCUUUGUUGUGUGAUGACGGACUUCAGACUCCUGUGGAAGAGGGUAGGGAAAUAAAUUGCCUUUGGCUGGUGGGUGACAUUCACUCCUAUGUGCUCUGUGUCAGUGCACACAACUGAAUGUGUAGUCAGUGCUCCGGUACACUCACAUACAAAAUACUCGGCUGUGAAUAUAACUGGGUUUUGUAAUCUUUGUUAUACAAAACGUUUAGGCUGUACAGACUGGGGAGCAAAACACUGACACCCCAUAUAAGUAGAAUUACAUUGUAUUACUGAGCAUAACAAAACUCUCCCCUACCAGCAGUUAGGUGGAGUGACCGCAUGUUACUGCCUUGUGUUUUUCACAUCAGCAAAAAAGAAAUCUAAAAGUAAAGGAUGCACUACAAAUUCCCAUCCCCCAAAAUGCAUUUCAAUGGUGCUGCAUACAGAAUCCCAGCUUGCCAGCUUCCACGCGGGUUUUCGUAUGGUGCACUGAGAGGUGUUCUUUUUUUAACAAAUAAAAAGCGAGGGCUGGUACAUGAAAACAAUGUUAAUGUAAUUAAAUAUAUAUAUAUAUACAUAUAUAUAUACUUCAGAAGAACAGCAUAGUAAGCAGUACAGUAAAUAAAUGUUGCAUUAUUUGUUACACCUUGUAAUUUGUCUGUAUUAUGAAAGAUGUAAUGGUUUGUCAGCUGUAACUGUUGUUUUCUUGUAACAUCAUAUUGAAUAAAGUGUAGCAGAAUCUCUCUUCUCCUUUGUAUAUGUGGUGUAGACCUAAAUAAUGGAAUAAAGCCUUUCUUUUCUGUUUUGUUCUAUGGCAAA